rnacentral:rRNA from 1 species
GACGGAGGAUGCAAGCGUUAUCCGGAAUUAUUGGGCGUAAAGCGUCCGCAGGUGGCAGUUCAAGUCUGCUGUCAAAGCCCGGGGCUUAACUUCGGAAAGGCAGUGGAAACUGAACAGCUAGAGUAUGGUAGGGGCAGAGGGAAUUCCUGGUGUAGCGGUGAAAUGCGUAGAGAUCAGGAAGAACAUCGGUGGCGAAGGCGCUCUGCUGGACCAUAACUGACACUCAGGGACGAAAGCUAGGGGAGCGAAUGGG